rnacentral:lncRNA from 1 species
CGACCCUGCCGCGCUCCGGGCGCCCUCGCAGCAGAUGUCUCCCAUGGAGCAGCUGGAGGCCGCCUCCCCGCCGGCCCCCCCCCCCCCCCCCCCCCCCGCCCACCGCCGCCACCGCGUGGGUCCCUCGGAAUCCGCGCAGCAGACAGCCGUCCCGACGGGGGGGGGUGGGGUGGGGGUGGGGGUGGGAGGCCGCUGUGGCCUCCCGGGCUUGGGUUGUGCUCAGCUGGCCAGGCCUGGGGCUAGGGCUGGCUCCUGGGACUCACCAGGAGGUCACACCACCCACUUGGAGGCCCAAGUCCUGGCCUCAACCCUCUGAUCCUGGCCCCGGGGAGGAAGGGACCUUUCGCAACUUGAAAAGGAGCCCCUGCCGUGGCUGACCCUGGCUCACAGAGACCUCACUUCCUGGGGCCACAGACCCACUGCACAGUGAGAAGAGCCACUGUGCGCAAGGCCCGGUCACCCUGGCUGCACAGAUGGGGCCGCAGGCCAAGGCAGGGACACUCAGAGGGAGGGGGACGUCUGGAGAGGGCUCCAGGACACUGCCUAUCCGGCAGCCCUACCCAGUUCUCUCCCAGACUACCGGCCAGGCCCAGGGGGAGGAGCCAGAGGGCAGCAGCAGGCGGGUGGCCCUGACCCUACCCAGAGACCCCAGCAGGGCCCACCUGGAGGUCUGGUGUGAGCUCUGGCAGACCAUCUGGGGCAGGGCCGGGCCUGGGCAGCACCACCUGGUGGCUGCUCUGUGGAGUGCGCCUCCCUGGCCCUGAGCCAGCCUCCUGGCCUGCUGCGCUCCCUGCCUGACCCGGAUGGGGAACUGGGGUGUGGGGCUGGCGGCCGCAAAAUGAAAACAAGGGGCCCCCUGCUGGGUCCAGUGGCGCAUCAGUAACCCCAGCGACUGAGAAGCCUGAGGCUGGAGGCUGGAGAGUUUGGAACCAGUCUGGGCAACUGAGACCCUCUCCUGAAAAAAAAUAAGGCCAGGCUCAGAGGCUCACACCUGCAUCCCAGCGACUCGGAGGCUGAGGAAGGAGGCUGAGGAAGGAGGCUGGCAAGUUCACGGAACCUGGGCAGUUCAGCAAGACCCUGUGUCUAAAAAGAAAAGGGCUGGGGCGUAGCUCAGUGUCAGAGUGUUCCUGGGUUCAGUCCCCAGGACAGGAAGGAAGGAAGGACGGAAGGAUGGAUGGAUGGAUGGAUGGAAGGAAGGACAGAUGGAUGAGUGGAAGGAAGGAAGGACAGCCCCUUAUUCAAAAUUUGGCCGCCCCAGGACAGCAGCCCCAGAGCCUCACACCAAGCAGGGGCCUUGGGGUGUGGCCCUGAGUGACUCCAGGGGCCGCUCACCACCGAGGGCUGUGGGGCCAGGAACAGGACAGGGUGCCACCAACCAGGCCGCCCCAAAGGCCAGGUCGGCCGGCGGAGACGCAGCCCAGCAGCACAGCCUCUGGGCUUGGCUUCCUCCCGGUGCCCACUGCCUGCCUUCCCUCUGGGGGCUGGGAGGUUGCGGAAGCGGCACACGUGCCCCGAGCCGCGGCCUGAGGCCCAUUAGUGGUUAGUGUUGGCCACGGCCUAGGACUCCCGGGUCACACCCCAAAUGGUGCUCACAGAGCAGGAGGGGGCAGUGAGGGUCCUCUGGGAGCCACAUGGGUUCCGGCAAUAAUUCCCAGACAGUACCAGGGCCUUCCAGGUCACACAGUCCCCUGUGGUGGGGGACGGACACAGUCCUUUACACUCAUGCUCCGGAAUGCCCACCAGGCCCCUCCCUUGCCCACCAGGGCCAUGAGGAAGGGUGGCUCUUGUCCUCAGAGGGCCAGAGCCCGUGCCUGACAGCCAUCUAGCAGACGGGCACCCACCCGAGCCCCGUCCCUCUAUCUGUCCACCCAGCUCCUCCUGCCCAGUCCCCUGCCUUCCACCCCCAGCCCACGUCUCUCCAUCCGCGCAGCUAGGACUGCAGUCGGGAUAGAGCACAUGCCGGUCCAGUGCGAGGCUCUGGGUGGGUCCCCAGCACUGUACAAUUGCACCGUCACCCGUAUAUUUGGCAUCACUGCAUACACGUGACAACUCUCCAUCCAUCCAAAAAAAAAAAAAAAGGAUUUUUGUCCCUUUCCUUGCAGCAUUGGGUGUUGAGCCCUGGAGUGUCCUGAGCUGGGUCCCCUUUUGUAAAUUGUAUUUGAGGCAGGGUCCUGCUAAGUUGCUGAGCUGGCCUCGAACAGACAACCCCCGGCGGAGCCUCCAGGCCACUGGGACUGCAGCGUGCACAGGCGCGGGGCUCCCUUGUCCAGGUUCACGCCACAUCCCGCCAGCCACCCACACGCCUGCAGACGGUCACGCAGACCGCCUCAGUGCCAGGCAUCUGUUGUGAGUGGCCACAGUGGCCCUGAUGUCGCUUGGUGGCUGUCCACGUCCCUCUCUGCUGUGGCUGGCACGGCCCAGGCAGGCAUUCGGGAAAGAGCAGGACGGGCCGCGAGCCACAGCCCCCCUUCACUGCCGAGCCCGGACCCGGAGCUCUCCCCUCUCUGCACCUGGUUCCUUGUAAAGUGGACACAAGUGCAGCUCUCUUCAUGGUUUUGUGAAAAUUAAAUUUAAAAAACCUCAGAAGGGCUGGGGAUGUGGCUCAAGCGGUAGCGCGCUCGCCUGGCAUGCGUGCGGCCCAGGUUCGAUCCUCAGCACCACAUACAAACAGAGAUGUUGUGUCCGCC